UUUAAUUUUGACAUUACGAGUUACUGAGAGGUAGUUAAAUUUACGAUACAGUUUUAAAAGUGAGUGGCAGGUCGUGUCGUCGGUCGCACCUUUCGAACUAGUUGACAUUGAAUCAAAGCAUAUUUAUUUUUCAUAUUAUUCACGUCAAAGACAUUCUACUGCACAUGAUGAAAAUUGAAUCAAUACUGAAGCAAAUUGAAUGAGAAGGUUCUCUCGCGAAGGGGGAGCAAACCAAUCCUUGGGACCUUUUUUUUGCUCGUCCAAGUCAUCUUACCGAAAAUGAAGUUUUUACUCACUAAACCAGCGAUGGGGGCGGCAAAUCUUAUUUUGCUCCGGGCGCCAAAUUUUCUUUGUACGCCAUCCAGUUGAACAGUAGCACUAAUAUGUAUGUGAUUACAUUAAAAAGAGCUUUUUAUGGUUAACUCAAUUUGUUGAAAAAUUUCCGAUCGUAUUUCCGAUCAAGAACUUAGCACUCUCCCAUAAAAUCUACCCUAAACCAAACUGCGGCCCGACUACUUCGGUUAGGUCCAACACAUGUAACCUACAUGUUCAAUAUUUGUG